rnacentral:rRNA from 1 species
CCCCUAAAUAGGGACUAGAAUGAACGGCUAAAUGAAGACUUUACUGUCUCCUGCUGCUAGUCAAUGAAACUGAUCUCCCAGUCCAAAAGCUGGAAUGCCCUCAUAAGACAAAAAGACCCUGUGGAGCUUUAAAUCAAAGACACAAACAUGUCCCUACCUGAUUUUUAGUUGGGGCGACUUCGGAACAAAACAAAACUUCCGAAACAAUGUGAACCUACCACAUAUCACAGGCUAACAUGCCAAAAUAUCAUAAACUUGACCCAGUCUUUCAACAUUCUGACCAAUGAACCAAGUUACCCCAGGGAUAACAGCGCCAUCUUCUUUUAGAGUCCAUAUCGACAAGAAGGUUUACGACCUCGAUGUUGGAUCAGGACACCCAAAUAGUGCAGCCGCUAUUAAAGGUUCG